UAUCUCUGUAGAGUCUGCAUAUCAAUAAGCGGAGGAAAAGAAACUAAACAGGAUUCCCUUAGUAACGGCGAGUGAAGCGGGAAGAGCUCAAAUUUGAAAUCUUCAAGGUUUUACCUUGACGAAUUGUAGUUUAAAGAAGUGUUUUCUGUUGGAGUUUUGGUAAAAGUUCUUUGGAAUAGGACAUCAUAGAGGGUGAGAAUCCCGUAUUUGACCAUUAUUUCCAGCUGUGUGAUACACUUUCAAAGAGUCGGAUUGUUUGGGAAUGCAGUCCAAAAUGGGUGGUAAAUUUCAUCCUAAAGCUAAAUAUUGGCGAGAGACCGAUAGCGAACAAGUACCGUGAGGGAAAGAUGAAAAGAACUUUGAAAAGAGAGUUAAACAGUACGUGAAAUUGUCAAAAGGGAAGCGUUUGACACCAGUGUUGUUUUCUCGAAAAUCAAUUAAAAAUGGCCGGAUUUUGUGUUGUAUUGACUUUAUCAGCUUUCUGCACAUUUUUUCUUGUCUUUUUUAAUGCACCUUUUCGUUUAACAAGUCAACAUCAAUUUCUUUUGUUGUAAAAGAGUCAUUGGAAGGUGGCUUUCACUUCGGUGAAAGUGUUUAUAGCCUUUGGCUUCUGCAAUCGGAGAGAUUGAGGUCUGCAGCGUAGAUCCUUCGGGGUUAGAUACAUUUGUGCUAAGUUAUAGCCUUUCAUAGACAACUUGUUGACUAUGAUCAGUCAUGUAGCUUACUCGCUUAUGCUAUUUUACCUACGCUUAGGAUGUUGAUGUGAUACUGCGAGC
rnacentral:rRNA from 1 species